CCGAGUCCUAGACUCCAAACCACCGUGGACAUACCGAACCGUUGCCUCGGCGGGCGGCUCCAGGGCGGAGCCCCCGGCCCCGUACGCGGGGCGCCCGCCGCCGGCCCCCCAGACCCUGCCGCAUCCCAGCGCCUCAGAGUACAACUGCGAGAGCAGCCUUUA
rnacentral:misc_RNA from 1 species